CCAACAGACCGUGAUAACCUCGGGAAACUGAGGCUAAUAACGGAUAGUGCUCCCGAGCUGGAAUGCUGGGAGCGCGAAAGCUCCGGCGCUGUUGGAUGUGGCUGCGGCCGAUUAGGUAGACGGUGGGGUAACGGCCCACCGUGCCGAUAAUCGGUACGGGUUGUGAGAGCAAGAGCCCGGAGACGGACUCUGAGACAAGAGUCCGGGCCCUACGGGGCGCAGCAGGCGCGAAACCUUUACACUGUACGCAAGUACGAUAGGGGGACACCNGAGUGCGAGGGCAUAGAGCCCUCGCUUUUGUACACCGUAAGGUGGUGCACGAAUAAGGGCUGGGCAAGACCGGUGCCAGCCGCCGCGGUAACACCGGCAGCCCAAGUGAUGGCCGCUAUUAUUGAGCCUAAAGCGUCCGUAGCUGGCCGUUCAGGUCCGUCGGGAAAUCCACUGGCUUAACCAGUGGGCGUCCGGCGGAAACCGUUCGGCUUGGAACAGGGAGACCAGAGGGGUACGUCCGGGGUAGGAGUGAAAUCCCGUAAUCCUGGACGGACCAUCGGUGGCGAAAGCGCCUCUGGAGAACUGAUUCGACAGUGAGGGACGAAAGCUGGGGUCUCGAACCGGAUUAGAUACCCGGGUAGUCCCAGCCGUAAACGAUGCUCGCUAGGUGGUGUCGCAGGCUACGAGCCUGCGAUGUGC
rnacentral:rRNA from 1 species